AUCCUUACCUGGCAGGGGAGAUUCCAUGAUCACGAAGGUGGCUUUCCCAGGGCGAGGCUUAUCCAUUGCACUCCGGAUGUGCUGACCCCUGCGAUUUCCCCAAAUGCGGGAAACUCGACUGCAUAAUUUGUGGUAGUGGGGGGCUGCGUUCGCGCUCUCCCCUG
ensembl:snRNA U1 U1 spliceosomal RNA